rnacentral:lncRNA from 1 species
UCAUUUGAGCUCAUUAUUGUAUAUAAAUAUAUUGUUGUCUUGUGUUGGUUUUGCUUUUGUUUUGUGUGAACCCAAUGCAAAAAGGAGAAAGGACUUAGAAUUAGGACUUACCCAUGCUUAAAGGAGUUCAAGAUCAACUAGGCCUCACGCCUUUAUAAUGCUAAAUUUGUUGAAGAGCAACUAGGCCUCGUGCCUUUAGAAUGCUAGAUCUCAA